AAGAAUUAUGGUUUGCUUUGUCUUUAUCAUUUUACAGGACCCUGGUAAUAGUAUAUGGAUUGUGUUGGAGAUAAAAGAUUGUACAAAUAUUGGAUGAAAUAUCUCCCUAGCAAACAGUCCUGUUGUGACAUUCUUUACUUAUCAAGAGAAGUUAUGCAAUUUAAUAACCCAUGGAGGAGACCAACUGAAUUCUAUAGAUGCUGAAGGAAGAUGGGGAGCCAGAAGAAAAGGAAGAAUGAUUUCUUUAGUAAGCUUCAGUGAGAGCCCACCUUAAAGCAUGUAAGGAAGCUAUGAACUUGCUGGGCGUAGACCUCAGAGGAGAAACAAGGGCAAGCCAUGAAAGCAUGCUAAGUGAGACAAAAGAAAUGUGAAAGUGCUUGAGAUGGUUUAUGGCAAAGGGAGCUUGAUGAGCUUGAUGAGCUUGAUGAGAGGCUGCUGCAAAAAGAAGCAGAUAGUUUCUUCUCUGUGUUGUGUUCAUAAUGGAGAAAGCAAGAGACAGGGAUUUAAACUGAAGCUGAUUUAAGUCAGGUAGCAGCAGAUAGCUUGAACAAGGUUCAGAAAACUAAAAGAUGGAAUAAACUGCUUCAAUUUGUUGUGGAGAUGGUUCCU
rnacentral:lncRNA from 1 species